rnacentral:rRNA from 1 species
AUUGAACGCUGGCGGCAUGCCUUACACAUGCAAGUCGAACGGCAGCACGGGGCAACCUGGUGGCGAGUGGCGAACGGGUGAGUAAUGCAUCGGAACGUACCUUUCAGUGGGGGAUAACGUAGCGAAAGUUACGCUAAUACCGCAUAUUCUGUGAGCAGGAAAGCAGGGGAUCGCAAGACCUUGCGCUGAUUGAGCGGCCGAGGUCAGAGUAGCUAGUUGGUGAGGUAAAGGCUCACCAAGGCGACGAUCUGUAGCGGGUCUGAGAGGAUGAUCCGCCACACUGGAACUGAGACACGGUCCAGACUCCUACGGGAGGCAGCAGUGGGGAAUUUUGGACAAUGGGGGCAACCCUGAUCCAGCCAUGCCGCGUGAGUGAAGAAGGCCUUCGGGUUGUAAAGCUCUUUCGCAAGAGAAGAAAACUUACCCUCUAGCAUAGGGUGAGGUUGACGGUAUCUUGAUAAGAAGCACCGGCUAACUACGUGCCAGCAGCCGCAGUAAUAC